rnacentral:misc_RNA from 1 species
GCUUCGGCGGCGACUUGGUCGAGUUCAAUUAUAGUUUGGAGGUUCGAGUCAGAGGAGGAGGAGGAGUCGAAGGGAGGAUGGGUGGUGCGGAGCUUGGUGAGCUUGUUUUUCCGGCGAGUUCGACGUCGUGGUUUAAAGCAGGAGAGAGUGGUGAAGAGUGGUGGGGAGUCCGGCAAGGAGAGACGGCGGAGGAAGUGGAGGUUAU